AUAAUUUUAAGUAUAAUCUGCUCCUGUUCUAAUAAAUAGCCGCAAUAAUUAUAUUGUGCUAAGGUAGCAUAAUCAUUAGCCUUUUAAUUAAAGGCUAGAAUGAAAGAUUUAACACUUUAAUUUCUUUUUUCUUUUAAAUAAUUAAAUUUUAACUAAAUAUAAAAAUGUAUUUAUAAAAAAAAAAGACGAUAAGACCCUAUUGAACUUUACUUAAGUUUAGCUGGGGAAGCUAAUUAAAAACAAUUUUAAUUUAAAAAUUUUAUAAAUAUUCCAAUUUAACUGAAUCAAACAAGUUACCAUAGGGAUAACAGCGUAAUAUUUUUUUAAAGCUCUUAUAAAAAAAAAAGUUUACGACCUCGAUGUUGAAUUAUCUUUACUUUAAAACGCAAUAGUCAUAAAAGUAGGUCUGUUCGACCUUUAAAUAGUUACAUGAUUUGAGUUCAAAUCGGUGUAAACCAGAUUGGUUUCUAUCUUUUAAAAAUUUUUAUCUAGUACGAAAGGACCCAUAAAUUUAUUUAAA
rnacentral:rRNA from 1 species